rnacentral:rRNA from 1 species
AUUGAACGCUGGCGGCAUGCUUUACACAUGCAAGUCGAACGGCAGCACGGACUUCGGUCUGGUGGCGAGUGGCGAACGGGUGAGUAAUACAUCGGAACGUACCCAGUAAUGGGGGAUAACUAUCCGAAAGGAUAGCUAAUACCGCAUACGCCCUACGGGGGAAAGAGGGGGAUCGCAAGACCUCUUGUUAUUGGAGCGGCCGAUGGCUGAUUAGCUAGUUGGUGAGGUAAAGGCUCACCAAGGCGACGAUCAGUAGCGGGUCUUAGAGGACGAUCCGCCCAACUGGACGUGCGACGCGGUCCAGAGUCCUACGGGAGUAAGCAGUGGGGAAUCUUGGACAAUGGGCGCAGGCCUGAUCAAGCAAUGCCGCGUGCGUGAAGAAGUCCUUCGGGUUGUAAAGCGCUUUUGUCAGGGAGCAAAAGGUGGUGGCUAAUAUCCAUCGCUCUUGGGAGUACCUGAAGAAUAAGGACCGGCUAACUACGUGCCAGCCGCCGCCGUAA